rnacentral:rRNA from 1 species
GUCCACGCCGUAAACGUUGGGAACUAGGUGUGGGUAUCAUCCCACGAGAUCCGUGCCGCAGCUAACGCAUUAAGUUCCCCGCCUGGGGAGUACGGCCGCAAGGCUAAAACUCAAAGGAAUUGACGGGGGCCCGCACAAGCGGCGGAGCAUGUGGAUUAAUUCGAUGCAACGCGAAGAACCUUACCAAGGCUUGACAUAUACCGGAAACACUCAGAGAUGGGUGCCCCGCAAGGUCGGUAUACAGGUGGUGCAUGGUUGUCGU